rnacentral:rRNA from 1 species
AUUGAACGCUGGCGGCAGGCUUAACACAUGCAAGUCGAGCGAGCGGCGGACGGGUGAGUAAUGUCUGGGAAACUGCCUGCUGGAGGGGGAUAACUACUGGAAACGGUAGCUAAUACCGCAUACCAUCAGAUGUGCCCAGAUGGGAGUAGCUAGUAGGUGGGGUAAUGGCUCACCUAGGCGACGAUCCCUAGCUGGUCGGAGAGGAUGACCAGCCACACGGGAACGGAGACACGGUCCAGGCUCCGGCGGGAGGCAGCAGUGGGGAAUGUGGCGCAGUGGGGGGAAGCCUGAUGCAGCCAUGCCGCGUGUGUGAAGAAGGCCUUCGGGUUGUAAAGCACUUUCAGCGAGGAGGCGUUACUCGCAGAAGAAGCACCGGCUAACUCCGUGCCAGCAGCCGCGGUAAUAC